UUGAUGAAAAUAGGGAAGAAAAUCAGUCCCUGUUGUUCAUUACACGAAUGCGGUUGUGUAGUGAUGAGAUUUUGAACAAUAUGACAUCAUUGUUCAGUUCAGCAGCGGACUCAUCUAUAUAAUUCCCCCAUCGAUCCCGCAUAAUCAAUCAGGCUACAAUAACAUCAAGCUAAAACAAUAAUCGAUCGACUUGGAAUGUACGACAUCAGCUUAUAAUUCGGAUAUCAUGUGUUAGCCCAACAGUCAUCCGACGUCAUGAAAGCUGUUUUUUUUUUAAAUAUUUGCUUCAGAAGUUAAAGAUACCAUCGAGAAAAAAAAUGUAAAUUUCAGCAGAAAGUUUGUGCGAAUUCAAUUGCCAACGUCAUGGUAACUGCUAGAGAGCCCCUGCAGUCAAUUUUAUUGACCACAAGACUAGCACCACCACAAUCUACACGCAAUCUAAAUUCGCACACCCUUUCCCCCAGAGUAUAUGAGUGUAUGAGACAGGCUACUCUCAUACACAGAUACACUCCAGUAGCCGAAUAACCGGGUGUUGAACACUAAGCAUUCCCACGAGCCUAUCCGUAGCAAUGCGAAGCGUUAGCCCACUCGGCCAUCACGACAUGCUGGUAACAUCGAAAAAUAUGCUUAUAAACUAACUUCAGAUGAAAAUAAAUAUUAAAAAGAA